GAAGUGACAGGUGCUGCACGGCUGUCGUCAGCGUCGUGUCGUGAGAUGUUGGGUUAAGUCCCGCAACGAGCGCAACCCUCGUGUUUAGUUGCUAACAGUUCGGCUGAGCACUCUAAACAGACUGCCUUCGUAAGGAGGAGGAAGGUGAGGACGACGUCAAGUCAUCAUGGCCCUUAUGGCCAGGGCUACACACGUGCUACAAUGGAUAGGACAAUGAGACGCAAUACCGCGAGGUGGAGCAAAUCUAUAAACCUAUUCUCAGUUCGGAUUGUUCUCUGCAACUCGAGAACAUGAAGCUGGAAUCGCUAGUAAUCGUAGAUCAGCAUUGCUACGGUGAAUACGUUCCCGGGUCUU
rnacentral:rRNA from 1 species